UUAUUGGCAAUGAAAUUAUGACUUACUCCACUGUCAAUCAUAAUAGUUACCUCUUGUCCAUGUAAACACCCUUGAAACUUCAUAGUUCUGGGUCCGGAAAUCCCUCCUACUGAAUACAACAGUAACUCUAGUUGCUUGAAAUGACCCUCCUGCAAACCUUCUAUGGUGGUGCCUUUCCCCAUUUCUGGUUUGACAUCCUCCAGAACUUCUUCAUCAUUCCCUACAAUCAGAGCUCCAAGGGUUUUAUUCGGGCACAUAUGCAAAGGGCUGUAUGGCUACUUACAGCAAUAACACAAUCCCUUAGCCUUAAG
rnacentral:misc_RNA from 1 species